UGGGGAAUUUUGGACAAUGGGCGAAAGCCUGAUCCAGCAAUGCCGCGUGUGUGAAGAAGGCCUUCGGGUUGUAAAGCACUUUUGUCCGGAAAGAAAUCCUUGGCUCUAAUACAGUCGGGGGAUGACGGUACCGGAAGAAUAAGCACCGGCUAACUACGUGCCAGCAGCCGCGGUAAUACGUAGGGUGCAAGCGUUAAUCGGAAUUACUGGGCGUAAAGCGUGCGCAGGCGGUUUUGCUAAGACCGAUGUGAAAUCCCCGGGCUCAACCUGGGAACUGCAUUGGUGACUGGCAGGCUAGAGUAUGGCAGAGGGGGGUAGAAUUCCACGUGUAGCAGUGAAAUGCGUAGAGAUGUGGAGGAAUACCGAUGGCGAAGGCAGCCCCCUGGGCCAAUACUGACGCUCAUGCACGAAAGCGUGGGGAGCAAACAGGAUUAGAUACCCUGGUAGUCCACGCCCUAAACGAUGUCAACUAGUUGUUGGGGAUUCAUUUCCUUAGUAACGUAGCUAACGCGUGAAGUUGACCGCCUGGGGAGUACGGUCGCAAGAUUAAAACUUAAAUGAAUUGAC
rnacentral:rRNA from 1 species